AAUGAAUGAAUGAAUGAAAGAAAGAAAGAAAGAAGAGGUAUUUACCCGAUUAAGGAUAAAGAAGGAAAUAAAAAGGAAACAACGGAAGGAGGAGGGGAAGAAGGAGGACGACUAGGAGAAAGGGAGGACUGCUAGGGUAUUGUGGCGUGGAUCUGUAAGGGAGCACCGGUAUCAUGGUGUGGUAGGUGUAAAGCUCGACGGACAACGGAGGAGGUAUGUCUAGUUUUAAAUUUUAAAUUGCAAUAAGGGAUAUGGAUGAUAGGAAGGAAGGGUAGAUGAUAAAUGAAAAAAGUAUCGCUCAUGGAUGGUAAGGUAGUGAAAUGACAAUAAGAUACCCAAACACCUUGGGUCAUCCGAACCAUGGAUUUUACCAAUGUUGGCUCACGGUUGACAACUUGGUUUAGUUGGGAUUAAUAUUAUAUUGCUGUCUAUUUUUAUUGCUGUCUUAUUUUGUUGCUGUCUAUUUUUAUUGUUGUCGACUAUUUUAUUGCUGUGUCUAAUAUUUUAUUGUUGUCUUUAGGUGAUGAAAACACUAUCGGAAUGCAUAUUAGAUUAACAUAUAAGCUAUUUAUCGUGUGGUUGUUUUAUAUUUUUUAUUGCAGUUUUAAAUGACGAGAAUGCUAUCGGAGUGCAUAUUUGAUUAACAUAUAAGUUAAUUAUCAUGUGGGUUGUUUCAAUUAAUUUAUUUCUGUUUUUAGACAAUGAACGUGUUAUCGUGGUACACAUUUGUAACAUACAAGACACUUAUCAUGUGGGUUGUUUGUAGUAUUUAUGUUGCUGUCUUUAGGUGAUGAAAACACUAUCGGAAUACAUGUCAUGUUACAUAUAAGUUAAAUAUCAUGUAGGCUGUUUCGAUUAAUUUAUUUCUGUUUUAGAUGAUAAACAUGCUAUCGGGACGCACAUUUGUUAGCAUUUAAGAUAUUUAUCAUGUGGCCUGUUUGUAGUAUUUAUGUUGUUGUUUUUAGAUUACGAAAAUACUAUAGGGGUGCAUGUUUGGUUAGCAUAUAAGAUAUUUAUCAUGUGAGUUGUUGCUGAUUUAAAAUGACAAUAAGAUUAGGGGGAAAUUUACAUGAAUGAACAUGGGAAUAAGAAUAACAAUGUAUGUAUGAAUGAAUUAAUUAAUGAAUGCAUGAAUGAAUGAGAUAUGACCGAGGUGUUUUGACGCCUAACCAGUGGCGUAUCCAGGAUUCCCUGACAGGGGGCAAGAUUCGACGAAGGCGAAUUUUUUUUUUGUACUAAUUAAAAAACCUAAUUUUUUUUGUACUAAUUUUCUCGAACGCCGGAGGCCGGAGAAGAUGGAUUUGGGGGAAAACGGGGGAGAAGGGGGUUUGAAGAUUUGUGAAACGUGGGGCGGUGGGGGAGAAGAGGGAGAGACUAGAGAGAUUAAUAUAUUGUGAAAUUUAUAUAUUAACCCUUAAAAAAUAUUAAUAUAUUGUGAAAAUUACACUUAACCCCCUAUAAAAAAAUUUAUUACAUAUAGGUUCUCGAUUUUUUUCCAACUUUUAGGGGGGCAAUUGCCCUCCCUUGCCCCCCCUGGAUACGCCACUGCGCCUAACCAAUGAAGAACCAUGAAUGACGAAUGAUGAUCAAUAUGAGUUUAUGAAUGAUGAAUGAUUGAUAAUAUUAGACUGAAUGGUUAUAACUUGCUCAUGUAUUAUAUAUGUUAAUAAAUAAUGUUAGACAAAUAUUGGUGUCUAUGUUUUACAUACUGACUCACGGAUGCAUGUCAUGUUGCAGGGAAUGAAGACAACAUUGCUUAACUGGAGUGGUAGGAGACGAAGGACUCAUCGAGGUGACGAGACACGUGUGCGCAGAGUGUAAAAUGUUAUAGUCAUUGUCCUUGUUUUUGUUUGUAAUAAGUACCAUUUUAGGUUUUUCUUGAAUAUUGAGUGUUUGUGGGAUAUUCCAUUAUGUUAAACUUCCAUUUGGAAGUAGAAUAUUACGAAUUAUUUCAUAAUAUUUAAACCUCAGUUUGGAAGCAGGG
rnacentral:lncRNA from 1 species